rnacentral:pre_miRNA from 1 species
AUAUGAACCACCUGAGUAAUCUUGUUGAAAGGCAGGUUUUAAUUCAGUAGAUUUGUGGUGAAACCUGAGAUUCUAACAAGUCCCCAGGAGAUGGAUAU